rnacentral:rRNA from 1 species
ACUUGUACUGUGAAACUGCGAAUGGCUCAUUAAAUCAGUUAUAGUUUAUUUGAUGGUAUCUUGCUACAUGGAUAACUGUGGUAAUUCUAGAGCUAAUACAUGCUUAAAAGCCCCGACUUCGGAAAGGGUGUAUUUAUUAGAUAAAAGCCAACCCUUCGGGUCCCUUGGUGAUUCAUAAUAACUUCUCGAAUCGCAUGGCCUUGCGCCGGCGAUGCUUCAUUCAAAUAUCUGCCCUAUCAACUGUCGAUGGUAGGAUAGAGGCCUACCAUGGUUGCAACGGGUAACGGGGAAUAAGGGUUCGAUUCCGGAGAGGGAGCCUGAGAAACGGCUACCACAUCCAAGGAAGGCAGCAGGCGCGCAAAUUACCCAAUCCCGACACGGGGAGGUAGUGACAAUAAAUAACAAUAUAGGGCUUUCAUAGGUCUUAUAAUUGGAAUGAGUACAAUUUAAAUCCCUUAACGAGGAACAAUUGGAGGGCAAGUCUGGUGCCAGCAGCCGCGGUAAUUCCAGCUCCAAUAGCGUAUAUUAAAGUUGUUGCAGUUAAAAAGCUCGUAGUUGAACUUCAGCCCUGGCCGGCCGGUCCGCCUCACGGCGUGUACUGUCCAGCCGGGGCUUCCCUCCUGGUGAUCCCGCGUGCUCUUUACUGGGCGCGUGGGGGAACCAGGAUCUUUACUUUGAAAAAAUUAGAGUGUUCAAAGCAGGCCUAUGCCCGAAUAUAUUAGCAUGGAAUAAUAAAAUAGGACGCGCGGUUCUAUUUUGUUGGUUUCUAGAGUCGCCGUAAUGAUUAAUAGGGAUAGUUGGGGGCAUUAGUAUUCGCAUGCUAGAGGUGAAAUUCUUGGAUUUUGCGAAGACUAACUUCUGCGAAAGCAUUUGCCAAGGAUGUUUUCAUUAAUCAAGAACGAAGGUUAGGGGAUCGAAAACGAUCAGAUACCGUUGUAGUCUUAACAGUAAACUAUGCCGACUAGGGAUUGGUGGAUGUUAUUUUAUUGACUCCAUCAGCACCUUACGAGAAAUCAAAGUCUUUGGGU